UACGUAGGUGGCAAGCGUUGUCCGGAAUUAUUGGGCGUAAAGCGCGCGCAGGUGGUUUCUUAAGUCUGAUGUGAAAGCCCACGGCUCAACCGUGGAGGGUCAUUGGAAACUGGGGAACUUGAGUGCAGAAGAAGGAAAGUGGAAUUCCAAGUGUAGCGGUGAAAUGCGUAGAGAUUUGGAGGAACACCAGUGGCGAAGGCGACUUUCUGGUCUGUAACGUGACAC
rnacentral:rRNA from 1 species